rnacentral:rRNA from 1 species
CGCGCAGGCGGUCAUUUAAGUCUGGUGUUUAAUCCUGGGGCUCAACCCCAGUUCGCAUCGGAAACUGGAUGACUUGAGUGUAAGAGAGGAAAGUGGAAUUCCACGUGUAGCGGUGAAAUGCGUAGAGAUGUGGAGGAACACCAGUGGCGAAGGCGACUUUCUGGCUUAUAACUGACGCUGAGGCGCGAAAGCGUGGGAGCAAACA